rnacentral:misc_RNA from 1 species
UUUCCGUAGGUGAACCUGCGGAAGGAUCAUUAUUGUAUAACCGAGGCGCGAGGGCUGUCGCUGACUCGAAAGGUCGUGCACGCCCGAGUGCCCUCACACACAUCCAUCUCACCCCUAUGUGCACCACCGCGUGGGUCCCCCUUUGGCUUGUUCGGAGGGGGGCUUACGUUUUCACACAAACUUUGUAUGCAGUGUAGAAUGUAUUUUUUGUUUUUGCGAUCACGCAAUCAAUACAACUUUCAACAACGGAUCUCUUGGCUCUC